rnacentral:lncRNA from 1 species
GAGUUACACACAUAGAAGCUACAGCAUCUGGAAAGUGUCCCUUCAACUCCCUGAAAUUUCUUUACUGACUACUUACCUGUGAGAUUCAUCUUAACUCUACUGAACAUGGAAUAAUUAUAUAACAAAAACAGUCCAGGUCUGCCAGGCUAUUCCACAGGCAGUAGCUGCAAAAGAAUUUAAAAUGAGAGACAAGUAAAGUGAAUCAGAAGUAUUUUCUUAGAACAUCAGCUUGGAAACCCAACAGCUGUUGAGUAAAUGUGCUGCUGUGGUGCCUUCAUUAAAAUGGAAAGGUUUUGUGAUAGAUAUACAUUAACUGUGUUGCUUGUUUUCUUAGGCUCCAGGUUAUGGAGAUGUUAGGUUGUCUUUGGAGGCAAUACCAGAUACCGUAAACCUUGAAGAACCUUUUCAUAUUACCUGUAAAAUAACAAACUGCAGUGAAAGGACUAUGGAUCUGGUUUUGGAAAUGUGCAAUACCAAUUCCAUCCACUGGUGUGGAAUUUCAGGAAGACAGCUGGGAAAGCUGCAUCCAAGUUCUUCGCUCUGUCUUGCCCUUACUCUGCUUUCUUCAGUACAGGGACUGCAAAGCAUCUCUGGCUUAAGACUAACAGACACAUUCUUAAAGAGAACAUAUGAAUAUGAUGACAUCGCACAAGUCUGUGUGGUAUCUUCUGCCAUUAAAGUGGAAAGCUGAAGGAAACUUCCAAUGUUAGGCUUUUCAUUUAGUUUCACAGAACUGCUCUUUUUGUUACCUUUGUAAAAUGAUGACGUCAACAACGAAGUAAAUAUGUUACUUAAAUUUUCUUUCCUGUAAAAUGGUUAAAAUAUUAAAUAUUUGUUUUGAAGA